rnacentral:rRNA from 1 species
GACGUAGGGCGCGAGCGUUGUCCGGAUUUACUGGGCGUAAAGAGCGCGCAGGCGGUCGUUCAAGUCGCGUGUGAAAGCCCCCGGCUCAACUGGGGAGGGUCACGCGAUACUGAUCGACUCGAAGGCAGGAGAGGGUAGUGGAAUUCCCGGUGUAGUGGUGGAAAUGCGUAGAUAUCGGGAGGAACACCAGUGGCGAAGGCGACUACCUGGCCUGUUCUUGACGCUGAGGCGCGAAAGCUAGGGGAGCAACGGGAUUAAGAA